rnacentral:lncRNA from 1 species
AAAGAGUUAAUAUACAAAAAGUAAGAAGAAUCUGAUAAAGGCGCCUCCACCAACAUCUGUCCAAUCCUGUCGAUGCUACAUGACAAGAUGAGUCCUCAUAAGCCAGCUAUUCCUGCUUAACUGUCUCCAAUCAAUCUUCAAGGAAUCUUUAAAAGCCACUUUUUUUCUGCUUCACACUAUCUUCAGUCUCCCACUAUCUCCACCGACAGGCAAUCAAAGCGUCCACCUGUUCUAAAGAUAGCCGUCCGAUAAAAAGGAAGAUUAUCUUCUCAGCUAUAUAAGGAGCAAGCCCCUCAUUCAGCAAAACAGGUCUUGAAACACCUUCGAAGCAAAAGAGGCUAGCUCUAAGUCUUCUUCUGCUUCUCUCCUCUUCUGAAAAGCCUCCUCUCUUCUCUCUCUCUGUUCUAAAAAGCCUCCUCUCUUCUCUCUCACUUCUAAAAAGGCCUCCUGUUCAUAUGUAUAUAUCCGGUGUGGAAUUCUCUCUAUAAUAUAUCUAGUGUGGAUUGCGCUCUGGUAACAAUUUCUACCUUUCUUAUCUAUUUAUAGUAUGUGUGACUGCAACUUUAACUCCCUUCCGAGAUACUAUCCUCAGGAAUGGAGGAUGUUUUCCGGUUAUUGUAUAUGUACACAGUAAGUAUUGUGUAAGAAAAUUUUGUGUUUAUUUUUCUAUCUGUAAUGCAAGUUAAGCUCAUGUUUAGCUUUAAAAUUAGAGAUACUGUUUAUACUAGUUGGAUUGUUUUAGACAUAUCUAUAAUUCCUGUUUUUGCUAUAAUUGGAAUAAUUUUAUAUUAUAUAGGAUUGUUAAAAAUAAUAGUUAAUUGCAAUUUAGGAUAUUUAUUAUUGUAAGAAAAGUUGUUAAAUAGGUCAUGGCGUCAAAUGAUAUCAGAGCCAUAGAAUUAAAAUAUAUCUUCAAAGAAUUUUUAACAAUAGACUGUUUUAGUUGGUUAUAAUAUCUUAAAAGAUAAAGAGAUAAUAAAAUUUACCAUUAGGAAGGAAGUCCGAGAGUUAAGACUACUUGACGCCCAGUCAGAAAGACCGUUUAGGCCAGGAGGACGAGCUGAGGUCGUAAAGGACGUAAGAGGUUGUCUAUAGUCAUUAUCCGUACCUUCAAUGGAAAACUUCAUUAGAACUUUAUCUAAUAAGACAUUAUCACCUUCUAAGAACACUCUAAGGUUAAAAAACAAAGAAGAAAUUGUUAUUGAUAAUAUUGAGCAACAAGUUCAAAAUUGGAACCUUCCCUAAGUUCCAAUAACAGAUAUUUUUUAAAAAGGGUCAUUCCAAUUAAAAAUAGGAUAUGCUAUAAAAACCGUAGAGCAAAGUCUA